GAUGAACGCUGGCGGCGUGCCUAAUACAUGCAAGUAGAACGCUGAAGGGAGGAGCUUGCUCUUCUGGAUGAGCUGCGAACGGGUGAGUAACGCGUAGGUAACCUGCCUGGUAGCGGGGGAUAACUAUUGGAAACGAUAGCUAAUGCCGCAUAACAGUAGAUAUUGCAUGAUAUCUGCUUGAAAGGGGCAAUUGCUCCACUACCAGAUGGAUCUGCGUUGUAUUAGCUAGUUGGUGAGGUAACGGCUCACCAAGGCGACGAUACAUAGCCGACCUGAGAGGGUGAUCGGCCACACUGGGACUGAGACACGGCCCAGACUCCUAUGGGAGGCAGCAGUAGGGAAUCUUCGGCAAUGGACGGAAGUCUGACCGAGCAACGCCGCGUGAGUGAAGAAGUUUUUUCGGAUCGUAAAGGCUCGUGUUGUAAGAGAAGAAGCGAGUGGAGAAGUGGA
rnacentral:rRNA from 1 species